GGACGCGGUAGCCUGCGAAAAGCUACGGGGAGCUGGCAAACGAGCUUUGAUCCGUAGAUGUCCGAAUGGGGAAACCCACCUCUUUUGAGGUAUCCGUGGCUGAAUACAUAGGCCAUGCGAAGCGAACGCGGUGAACUGAAACAUCUAAGUAACCGCAGGAAAAGAAAUCAACCGAGAUUCCCAAAGUAGUGGCGAGCGAAAUGGGAUGAGCCUUGCGCUCUUUAUUUGUAUUGUUAGCCGAACGCUCUGGAAAGUGCGGCCAUAGCAGGUGAUAGCCCUGUAGGCGAAAACAGUAUGAAAGAACUAAGUGUGCGACAAGUAGGGCGGGACACGUGAAAUCCUGUCUGAAGAUGGGGGGACCAUCCUCCAAGGCUAAAUACUCGUGAUCGACCGAUAGUGAACCAGUACCGUGAGGGAAAGGCGAAAAGAACCCCGGGAGGGGAGUGAAAUAGAUCCUGAAACCGCAUGCAUACAAACAGUCGGAGCCUCGUAAGGGGUGACGGCGUACCUUUUGUAUAAUGGGUCAGCGACUUACGUUCAGUAGCAAGCUUAACCGUAUAGGGCAGGCGUAGCGAAAGCGAGUCCGAAUAGGGCGUUCAGUUGCUGGGCGUAGACCCGAAACCAGGUGAUCUAUCCAUGGCCAGGAUGAAGGUGCGGUAACACGUACUGGAGGUCCGAACCCACUAACGUUGAAAAGUUAGGGGAUGAGCUGUGGAUAGGGGUGAAAGGCUAAACAAACCUGGAAAUAGCUGGUUCUCUCCGAAAACUAUUUAGGUAGUGCCUCGUGUCUCACCUUCGGGGGUAGAGCACUGUCAUGGUUGGGGGGUCUAUUGCAGAUUACCCCGCCAUAGCAAACUCCGAAUACCGAAGAGUGCAAUCACGGGAGACAGACAUCGGGUGCUAACGUCCGGUGUCAAGAGGGAAACAACCCAGACCGCCAGCUAAGGUCCCCAAAUAUAGCUAAGUGGGAAACGAAGUGGGAAGGCUAAAACAGUCAGGAGGUUGGCUUAGAAGCAGCCACCCUUUAAAGAAAGCGUAAUAGCUCACUGAUCGAGUCGUCCUGCGCGGAAGAUGUAACGGGGCUAAGCUAUAUACCGAAGCUGCGGAUGCGAGCUUGCUCGCAUGGUAGGAGAGCGUUCCGUAAGCCUGCGAAGGUGCCUUGUAAAGGGUGCUGGAGGUAUCGGAAGUGCGAAUGCUGACAUGAGUAGCGAUAAAGGGGGUGAAAGGCCCCCUCGCCGUAAGCCCAAGGUUUCCUACGCAACGUUCAUCGGCGUAGGGUGAGUCGGCCCCUAAGGCGAGGCAGAAAUGCGUAGCUGAUGGGAAGCAGGUCAAUAUUCCUGCACCAUUGUUAGAUGCGAUGGGGGGACGGAUCGCGGAAGGUUGUCCGGGUGUUGGAAGUCCCGGUCGCUGCAUUGGAGAAGGCGCUUAGGCAAAUCCGGGCGCGUAAUUCAAGGGUGUGGCGCGAGCUCCUUAGGGAGCGAAGCAAUUGGAAGUGGUUCCAAGAAAAGCCUCUAAGCUUCAGUCUAACGAUGACCGUACCGCAAACCGACACAGGUGGGCGAGAUGAGUAUUCUAAGGCGCUUGAGAGAACUCGGGAGAAGGAACUCGGCAAAUUGGUACCGUAACUUCGGGAUAAGGUACGCCCUUGUAGCUUGACUGGCCUGCGCCAGGAGGGUGAAGGGGUUGCAAUAAACUGGUGGCUGCGACUGUUUAAUAAAAACACAGCACUCUGCAAACACGAAAGUGGACGUAUAGGGUGUGACGCCUGCCCGGUGCCGGAAGAUUAAAUGAUGGGGUGCAAGCUCUUGAUUGAAGUCCCGGUAAACGGCGGCCGUAACUAUAACGGUCCUAAGGUAGCGAAAUUCCUUGUCGGGUAAGUUCCGACCUGCACGA
rnacentral:rRNA from 1 species